rnacentral:rRNA from 1 species
AUUGAACGCUGGCGGGAGGCCUAACACAUGCAAGUCGAACGAGUGGCGGACGGGGGAGUAAUGUCUGGGAAACUGCCCGAGGGAUGGGGAUAACUACUGGAAACGGUAGCUAAUACCGCAUACCAUCGGAUGUGCCCAGAUGGGAUUAGCUAGGAGGUGGGGUAAAGGCUCACCUAGGCGACGAUCCCUAGCUGGACUGAGAGGAUGACCAGCCACACUGGAAGUGAGACAAGGUCCAGAUUCCUACGGGAGGCAGCAGUGGGGAAUAUUGCACAAUGGGCGCAAGCCUGAUGCAGCCAUGCCGCGUGUAUGAAGAAGGCCUUCGGGUUGUAAAGUACUUUCAGCGGGGAGGCGUUACCCGCAGAAGAAGCACCGGCUAACUCCGUGCCAGCAGCCGCGGUAAUUC